rnacentral:rRNA from 1 species
AUACGGAGGGUGCAAGCGUUAAUCGGAAUUACUGGGCGUAAAGCGUACGUAGGCGGUUCGUUAAGUUAGAUGUGAAAGCCCCGGGCUUAACCUGGGAACUGCAUUUAAAACUGGCGAACUAGAGUUGAGUAGAGGGGAGUGGAAUUUCAGGUGUAGCGGUGAAAUGCGUAGAGAUCUGAAGGAACACCAGUGGCGAAGGCGACUCCCUGGACUCGAACUGACGCUGAGGUACGAAAGCGUGGGUAGCAAACGGAAUUAGAAACCCUAGUAGUCC